GGUCAGGUGAAACCAGAGGAAGUAGACUUUUAAUGUGGAGCGGAGACUGACGGGAACGGGGGAGGGAGAGAGCCGGUAGUAGCCGGAGGACUAAGCUCGCGGCAGGGAAACCUCCCCCUCCCCCUAGAACUCCUGUCCUAAGGACUGUACGCGGGGCCAGGUGGAGGACGGAUGCGGCGCAGCCGACUCUUAAUAAAGGUCAGCGGGGACUCCAGUGCGGAGUAGAGCUGAGGAUGGGGAGAGAACGUUAGGGCUGGCCUCGAGGGAGCCGUGAAAAAGGGGAAAGGCCUAAAAUGAAGAGACAAGUUACCGCCACGGGCAGUACCUAGUUCCAGUUCUUGGUCCCAAGGGUUGGUGGUUGCUGCAGCUUUCAUCGUUCUCAGCCGAAACAAAAGACAAGUGCCAAAGAGUGAUUCCUGAGGACCUUCUGGGCCGUCUCCACCUCGCGACCCUGGCGCAUGUGUCCACUCCCUUCUCCAGCCCUUCACACUUGAUGAUCUCGAAUGAGUAGAAAGGAGCACAAUUAGUGGAAAACACAAGCUGGGGAGUCAAGGGAUUUGGGUUCUAUUCUUGUCGUCCCUUGGUGACGACAUCAUUACCUUGUGUUAUGCACGCUUUCAGUGCCAGAGUUCCUAGAUCAAUUAAAGAUUAUUGUGUCGACCUCUU
rnacentral:lncRNA from 1 species